CUAACCAAAUGAAAGAUAUCAGCUUUUAAUCAUAAUGUGUUUUCCUUCGACAUUUUUGUUUACUUGUUUAUUAUACUUGGUAGAAAGCAGUCAUUUUCGUGGGGGCAUUAUAUCAUGGAAGCCAGCAGAAAAUAAUCAGAUAGAGCUUAACUAUAGAGUUGCCUUCCGUGCAAGUUCUGGACACACGUGCGAUGCAAACACAAUAAGGAACGGAACAUUGCUAUCUGGCGAAGGCUCUUUACAGUGUGUAGAAGGAUGCAGUGAUACAAUUACUACUAUGUCUUAUUACUGCACUGACUUUAGUGAAACUGAAGAUUGGACCUCAGGAACCAAUAGCAUCAAGUACAAUCUGUCAGCGUCAAGUAACAAUCUUUAUACUUUUGGAUUUUCAAGCUGUUGUUGGAUAUCUCUAGUUGAAGGCGGUUCAGACUGGAGGAUGCUGACUACAGCAAAUCUGACCGUAAGACAAGACACUGGAAAAAUAAAUUCCUCUCCAAUCUCUGCGAUGCAGCCUAUAGUAAGAUUCAGUUGUGGAUGUGACUAUACACUUAAAA